rnacentral:rRNA from 1 species
GAUGAACGCUAGCUACAGGCUUAACACAUGCAAGUCGAGGGGCAGCAUGGUCUUAGCUUGCUAAGGCCGAUGGCGACCGGCGCACGGGUGAGUAACACGUAUCCAACCUGCCGUCUACUCUUGGACAGCCUUCUGAAAGGAAGAUUAAUACAAGAUGGCAUCAUGAGUCCGCAUGUUCACAUGAUUAAAGGUAUUCCGGUAGACGAUGGGGAUGCGUUCCAUUAGAUAGUAGGCGGGGUAACGGCCCACCUAGUCUUCGAUGGAUAGGGGUUCUGAGAGGAAGGUCCCCCACAUUGGAACUGAGACACGGUCCAAACUCCUACGGGAGGCAGCAGUGAGGAAUAUUGGUCAAUGGGCGAGAGCCUGAACCAGCCAAGUAGCGUGAAGGAUGACUGCCCUAUGGGUUGUAAACUUCUUUUAUAAAGGAAUAAAGUCGGGUAUGGAUACCCGUUUGCAUGUACUUUAUGAAUAAGGAUCGGCUAACUCCGUGCCAGCAGCCGCGGUAAUACGGAGGAUCCGAGCGUUAUCCGGAUUUAUUGGGUUUAAAGGGAGCGUAGAUGGAUGUUUAAGUCAGUUGUGAAAGUUUGCGGCUCAACCGUAAAAUUGCAGUUGAUACUGGAUAUCUUGAGUGCAGUUGAGGCAGGCGGAAUUCGUGGUGUAGCGGUGAAAUGCUUAGAUAUCACGAAGAACUCCGAUUGCGAAGGCAGCCUGCUAAGCUGCAACUGACAUUGAGGCUCGAAAGUGUGGGUAUCAAACAGGAUUAGAUACCCUGGUAGUCCACACGGUAAACGAUGAAUACUCGCUGUUUGCGAUAUACUGCAAGCGGCCAAGCGAAAGCGUUAAGUAUUCCACCUGGGGAGUACGCCGGCAACGGUGAAACUCAAAGGAAUUGACGGGGGCCCGCACAAGCGGAGGAACAUGUGGUUUAAUUCGAUGAUACGCGAGGAACCUUACCCGGGCUUAAAUUGCAGAUGAAUUACGGUGAAAGCCGUAAGCCGCAAGGCAUCUGUGAAGGUGCUGCAUGGUUGUCGUCAGCUCGUGCCGUGAGGUGUCGGCUUAAGUGCCAUAACGAGCGCAACCCUUGUUGUCAGUUACUAACAGGUUCCGCUGAGGACUCUGACAAGACUGCCAUCGUAAGAUGUGAGGAAGGUGGGGAUGACGUCAAAUCAGCACGGCCCUUACGUCCGGGGCUACACACGUGUUACAAUGGGGGGUACAGAGGGCCGCUACCACGCGACUGGAUGCUAAUCCCUAAAACCUCUCUCAGUUCGGAUUGGAGUCUGCAACCCGACUCCAUGAAAGCUGGAUUCGCUAGUAAUCGCGCAUCAGCCACGGCGCGGUGAAAUACGUUCCCGGGCC